rnacentral:rRNA from 1 species
AGCUUGCUUCUCUUGGCAGCGGCGGACGGGUGAGUAAUGCCUAGGAAUCUGCCUGGUAGUGGGGGAUAACGUUCGGAAACGGACGCUAAUACCGCAUACGUCCUACGGGAGAAAGCAGGGGACCUUCGGGCCUUGCGCUAUCAGAUGAGCCUAGGUCGGAUUAGCUAGUUGGUGAGGUAAUGGCUCACCAAGGCGACGAUCCGUAACUGGUCUGAGAGGAUGAUCAGUCACACUGGAACUGAGACACGGUCCAGACUCCUACGGGAGGCAGCAGUGGGGAAUAUUGGACAAUGGGCGAAAGCCUGAUCCAGCCAUGCCGCGUGUGUGAAGAAGGUCUUCGGAUUGUAAAGCACUUUAAGUUGGGAGGAAGGGCAGUUACCUAAUACUUAAUUGUUUUGACGUUACCGACAGAAUAAGCACCGGCUAACUCUGUGCCAGCAGCCGCGGUAAUACAGAGGGUGCAAGCGUUAAUCGGAAUUACUGGGCGUAAAGCGCGCGUAGGUGGUUA